UGGGGAUAUUGCACAAUGGGCGAAAGCCUGAUGCAGCGACGCCGCGUGAGGGAAGACGGUUUUCGGAUUGUAAACCUCUGUCUUCGGGGACGAAAAUGACGGUACCCGAGGAGGAAGCCACGGCUAACUACGUGCCAGCAGCCGCGGUAAUACGUAGGUGGCAAGCGUUGUCCGGAAUUACUGGGUGUAAAGGGAGCGCAGGCGGGAAGACAAGUUGGAAGUGAAAUCCAUGGGCUCAACUCAUGAACUGCUUUCAAAACUGUUUUCUUGAGUAGUGCAGAGGUAGGCGGAAUUCCCGGUGUAGCGGUGGAAUGCGUAGAUAUCGGGAGGAACACCAGUGGCGAAGGCGGUCUACUGGGCACCAACUGACGCUGAGGCUCGAAAGUGUGGGUAGCAAACAGGAUUAGAUACCCUGGUAGU
rnacentral:rRNA from 1 species